AUGGAUGAGGAAGGUGAACGCGUCGUCGUCGUCUGAAUCUGCGGUGCGGAAAAUCUCCUUUAAGUGAGUAUGAUAGGCAGCGAUACCUUCCUUUUUCAUAGUAAUUCCUUCCUUUAUCAUGAUAAUUCCUUCCUUUCUUAUAGUCACAGGUCAUGCGGCGAAGGCAGCGUCUCGCGCUGAUAGCAUGCAGUGGAUGGAGUGAUUGGCGGACAAAAUUAUUUUCUUUCCUUUUCUAGCUCGACUCCUUUCCUUUUCUCACUCGUCCGCUGGACAGGGGAGGUGGGAUCGCAUGGAUAGGGUGACAGACGGACGAAAGACAAUUGCUGCACCAAAAAGUGUCCACUCUUUAGUCUUUUUACUUGUGAGAGACUAUAAUUAUCAUGAUAAAAUAUUUGCC
rnacentral:lncRNA from 1 species